rnacentral:rRNA from 1 species
UACGAACUGUGCGAACGUUAUUCGGAAUCACUGGGCGUAAAGCGCACGUAGGCGGAUGUGUCAGUCAGGGGUGAAAUCCCGGAGCUCAACUUCGGAACUGCCUUUGAUACAGCACGUCUUGAGUCCGAUAGAGGUGGGUGGAAUUCCUAGUGUAGAGGUGAAAUUCGUAGAUAUUAGGAAGAACACCGGUGGCGAAGGCGGCCCACUGGAUCGGUACUGACGCUAGGUGCGAAAGCGUGGGGAGCAAACAGGA